rnacentral:lncRNA from 1 species
CCAUUCUUGUUUCUUUAUUGCUAAUGGAGCCUUGAUUUUGUCUGAGAGGAAAAGUAAAUAGCCCCAAGAGCUGAACUUAUAGGACUUCUUUAAAUAGCUUCCUCCAAUCUUUUUCUUUUUUUUCUUUUCUUUUUCUGAUCCCUUUAUUAUUGUCUUUAAACAUUUUUAUGUAAGUAGGUAAUGCUGGAGGCUGAAGAAACCAUUUGGAGAUCAUGAAGGGAUAAGGGUAAAAAUAAUGAGACUAAUGAAGUAAACAAGAAAAAUAAUCUGAAAAUUGCAGUACGCUGCCAAGGCACCCUGGAAUUGCCUUUGAAGGGUUUUGUUUGUUUUUUUAUAAAAAUAAUACACAUUCUUUUGGGGUAAACCACUCUUCACCUAUUAUUUGGUACUGAAAGCAAUUCACCUAUUAUUUGGUACUGAAAGCAGUUUAUCAGUUAGAAUUAGAUAAAGCUGUGACUGAUUUAGAAUUUCUCCUACCUAAGACUUAACCUCAUAUAAAAGUCUUUCUUAUAAAAGCCCAUCAUAGGUAGUCUGAGUCAAACAUAGCAUUCGACAAAAUCCUCAGAGAUCCAAGCUUUCCACCUUUCCAUUGCUCCAUCCCAGAAGUGUGAUCUUGUUGCUGGGAUCAAGAUGGCUGCUUGAAUUCCAGCCUUCAUGAAUACAUUCCAACUAGCAGAAAGGAGUGAGGAAAAGAAUAUCCCUCCACUUUUAAGUUCAAGCAGGAGGUUUCAUACAUACACCAUUUCACUCUCAUCACAUUGGAUAGAACUGUUAGCUACAAGAAAGCAAGGAAAUGUCACUUUCAUUCUGGGAGGUCAAACACUCAGCUCAAAAUCAGCAAUUCAAUCAGUAGGAAAAAAAGUGAAGAAUGCAUAGAGGAAGACACAUACAGUAGAUGAACCCACAUGUGUCUGACUCCAAAGCCAUGUACUUAACUGCAAUAGUCCACUGUCUCUAGUAGCUAAUUAGACUAUAUAACAAUAGGGGAAAUCUGUUUAUUAUUUUCUAUAUUUUUAAAUUCUUUCACAAAUAUAAAAAGUAAAAUGUUUUUAAUAUGUGGCACAGGAUAAAAUUGUGUAUACAUGAGUAUGGAUAAAAUUAUACUUUCCAAGGUUUGAAGGAGAGGUUGUGUUUGAAUUGGAGAUUUGUCCCUACAUUUCUCUAUUUUUAAAGGCUUUUUAAUAAGCAAGUGAUAUUUUUGUAAUAAAAACAUCUACAUUUGUAUGUGUCUACCAUUUUAAAACCGUAGAGUCAGAAAAUCUUUUUUAUAUGUAGCCACUAGCACAGUCUAUAAGUGGUGGAUUUUAUGAAGAAGAAAAAUGAUAAAUAGGGUGUCAUUUGAUGCUUCAUAAUUUUUGGUUUGUAACCUUCUGGGUCACUGAUUUCUUCAAGAGUUUUCAUUCUUUCCGCACAUUAGUUAGGUGAUUGAGGAAGGUGUCAGACUACCAAAACAUAGGAAAAGAUGAUGUGGAGGAAUUAAAUUCUGCUUUUCUUUUGGCUGAGUAUACAAAACACACAAUAUGAUUUGGUGGUUCUGUGUGUAUUAACCUCUGUCUGCUGUGGGCAGUGUUGAGAAGAUACUGUCAUUGGCAUUCAAAUGAGAUAUAUUCUUUGUUUAAAAUAAGUGCCAUAUUGAUUUAAUGAAAUCAGUGCUAAGAACUGAUGGAAUGGUAAGGACAAAGAAACCUGAGAAAAGGGAAGAAGGAGUUGCUGGUUCAUUGUGACUAAGGAGUAUGUUAAGAUAAGAGGUAGGAAGAAAUGAUAUUGGAGGAACAUUAUGACUAUUAGAUAUCAGUCCAAGAGAGCUUCAUCACUGUUCAGUGAGGGCAUGUGCAUAGGUUUCUUAAGUGGUAGAAGAAGUGAUUGGUAGCACAUGUCAAGGAGGAACUGGCCUGGAAUGUAAGUGAUGUAUAUCUUGAAACAUUAUAGGUAUAUGUUGUAUAAGCUGUACUUAUUGCUAUCUUUUAUAUGUGCUUGCUUGCUGACUUUUUAAGAGAAAAAUGAAUAAAAACUUAACAUUUAAAAUGAUUUAAACCAGUGAGCUCAUAGGUAAUUUCAAUGAAAUAGAUAAAAAUCUCUAUUUAACUUCUUAAAUGAUAAAGAGCUAUCUUUAUUAUAAAAAAGAAUGAUAAAGCUAACUUUUGUUUGGUUAGUAUCCACUUUGCAGUCCAAUGAAGUGAAUAUACAAACCUUAUUCUUAUUCACCAACAAUUCACCAACAAGUCUAUGGCUCAUUUCUCCUUAUUUACAUUCAAAGGUUCAGUAGAAAUUUCAUAUCCAUGUACAUACUAGAGAAAAUGCCCUACCUUUCAAUUUCCCAAUUAAAUCACUCAAGUCCUGUAAAUUGAAGUAUAAUAAAGGUUUGACUGCUCAAUAACAGCAGAAAGAAAAUCUGGGAAUAAAUUUAACCGAAAAAUGAGCAAAUACUAUACGAUGAAACUUAAAAAGCUACUGAAGAUCAGAAAUAACUUGACUAGAUAGAGGGACAUACAGUGUUCUUGAACAAGACACACAUCGUAAAGAUGUCCAUUAUCUUAAGUUCACCUAUAAAAAUUUUGCGAUCCUAUAUAAAAUAUCAAUCCAAGUACAUUUGGAAAGAGAUGAACUGAUACCAAAGUUCAAAUGAAAAAAUAAACAGUCAAAUAGGGCCAUGAAAAUCUUAAAAAGUAAGGUCAUGAAGGGAAGCUAGACCAUCCAGUUAUUAAAAUGUCUUAUAAUGCUUCAGCAAUUAAAACCAUAUAAUAUUGGCAUACAUGCAUGUACAUACACACGAACAUGCACGUAAAAUAUAUGUUCAUAAGUAGAACAGUAUUAAAAGCCCCAAAAGAUACAUAAGCAUAGGAUAAUUUAAUAUAACAUCAGAUAAGUAGAGAAAACAUUAAUUACCUUAUAUAGAACUUUGAAAAAGUAGGAUAAUCAUGUGGAAAAAAAUAAUUUGGAUCCGUAAACUAUCAACACUAUAGAUUAAGAUAAAAAAUUACCCAAUGAAACAUGGGUAAAGGAAAUGUACAAAAAUCUCAAAGAUAAGAACAUACUUUUCAAUCCAACAAAGGCGGUCAGUCUCACUCAUAAUCUGGGAAAUACAGAUCAACAUCAUCUAGAGAUUUUUGUUUUCAUGAAUAAGAUUGACAAAGAUGCAAAAGUCUGAUAAUAGACUGUGUUGGUGAAGGUAUGGAGAAACUGAAUCUCUUCUACCUAUAUGAAAAGCAAUUUGGC